AUUAUUACCAAUUUUAUUACCCUGACACGGUAACAUCAACUGUAUGUCAUUAGGAAAUAAUUUAUAUCCUUGGUGGAAAUAAUUUUAUCUCCAAAAUUAUUGCCUGUGAGUGACAAUUUGUCUCCUUAAAGCCAACCGCAAGGCUUAGUGGCGGGUUGGCUUUUCUCGCAAACGUUUUUUCCUCUCGUCUGGCAGAAUGGCGAAAAUUGUUCGAGUUUCGCAUCCUACCAGAGGAAAAAAAUUAGUACUUGGCGAUUCGGAUUAUGAAUUAUUCUCAAUUUCAGGUAAACAAUUUUAAUACAUAUUUAUAUGAUAUGAGUUAUUAAGGUGUUGUUAUUUAUUUUUUGCCCUAUAUUUACAGUGAAACAAAAGUUUUUGCUAGAUCCGGAUGCGAAAAUUUCAUUCGAAGAUGAAUACGGCGCAGAAGUGGAUGAAGACAUUUUCCAAUUUUACUGCAGCAACAUUCAAUCCCCAACGUUAUUGUGAAAAUCUUUGGAGAAGAUGUUAUUUAUGUUGACGUUUCAUCUCCUAUGGCCACAGCUGGAAUAAAUUCAUCCCCAGCUUCAAGUUAAAAAUACCAAAACAAUGAGGACAUCGAAAUAACUAAUUUUAAGCAG